GGCGAUCAGAUACCGCCCUAGUUAUGACCGUAAACUAUAUCAGCUAUCAAUCUGUCAGUAGCUAUUCGUUAUUGAUAGGCGGAUUACCGGAAACGAAAGCGUUUGGAUUCCGGGGGAAGUAUGGUUGCAAAGCUGAAACUUAAAGGAAUUGACGGAAGGGCACCACCAGGAGUGGAGCUUGCGGCUUAAUUUGACUCAACACGGGAAAUCUCACCCGGCCAGUACAUCAUAAGGAUUGACAGAUUGAAAGCUCUUUCAUGAUUUGAUGAAUGGUGGUGCAUGGCCGUUCUUAGUUCGUGGUGUGAAUCGUCUGCUUAAUUGCGAUAACGAGCGAGACUCCGACUGUUAAAUAGCACUAACAUAAUUAUGUGCUAAAGGCUUCUUAACUGGAUUCGUGACUUCAAGUCGCAAGAAAUGGAGCAAUAACAGGUCUGUGAUGCCCUUAGAUGUUCGGGGCCGCACGCGUGCUACAAUGAUGGUAACAGCGUGAUUGUCCUCACCCGACAGGGUUUGGCAAACAGUUGAGAUAUUAUUAUGGCUGGAAUUGAGUGUUGAAAUUAUCUCUCAUGAACGAGGAAUUCCAAGUAAAUGCGCGUCAUCAACGUGCAUUGAUUACGUCCCUGCCCUUUGUA
rnacentral:rRNA from 1 species